GUCGGCGAUUUUCACGUGCCCGCUGGCGUCGAUCAAUAAGUUCGACGGUUUGAUGUCCCUGUGUACGAUCCGCUGAAAGUGCACUGUAAAACAGAAGCUGGAUAUUAAACAAUAUUAUGACGAUAUUUUGAACAAGAUCUUAAACGUAGUAUUAAAGAUAAGGUAUGAUGUAGAGUCUAUUCAAUAGAAGCAGAUGGAAAUUGAACAGACUUUAACAGAUAAAAUAUGCAUCAAGUACCUAAGAUCAUGCUCAAUAGUUUUUGAAACGAUGAGGAAAAUUAAAAACUGCAAAAGUUCAACAAAUGCAGCUAUUGAAGACCAAAUUCGAAUAUAUAUAGCUAGUGCUGGAUUUAGAGAAUCUUCUAAAAAUAUAGAUUAACUAAAAAUUCAAAUUAUUCUAUUAAAUCAAACUUUUAAAAAAUGAAUAAAGUUAAGUCAUUAAGUUAAA